rnacentral:rRNA from 1 species
GACGAACGCUGGCGGCGUGCUUAACACAUGCAAGUCGAACGGAAAGGCCCUGCUUUUGUGGGGUGCUCGAGUGGCGAACGGGUGAGUAACACGUGAGUAACCUGCCCUUGACUUUGGGAUAACUUCAGGAAACUGGGGCUAAUACCGGAUAGGAGCUCCUGCUGCAUGGUGGGGGUUGGAAAGUUUCGGCGGUUGGGGAUGGACUCGCGGCUUAUCAGCUUGUUGGUGGGGUAGUGGCUUACCAAGGCUUUGACGGGUAGCCGGCCUGAGAGGGUGACCGGCCACAUUGGGACUGAGAUACGGCCCAGACUCCUACGGGAGGCCGCAGUGGGGAAUAUUGCACAAUGGGCGGAAGCCUGAUGCAGCAACGCCGCGUGCGGGAUGACGGCCUUCGGGUUGUAAACCGCUUUCGCCUGUGACGAAGCGUGAGUGACGGUAAUGGGUAAAGAAGCACCGGCUAACUACGUGCCAGCAGCCGCGGUGAUACGUAGGGUGCGAGCGUUGUCCGGAUUUAUUGGGCGUAAAGGGCUCGUAGGUGGUUGAUCGCGUCGGAAGUGUAAUCUUGGGGCUUAACCCUGAGCGUGCUUUCGAUACGGGUUGACUUGAGGAAGGUAGGGGAGAAUGGAAUUCCUGGUGGAGCGGUGGAAUGCGCAGAUAUCAGGAGGAACACCAGUGGCGAAGGCGGUUCUCUGGGCCUUUCCUGACGCUGAGGAGCGAAAGCGUGGGGAGCGAACAGGCUUAGAUACCCUGGUAGUCCACGCUGUAAACGGUGGGUACUAGGUGUGGGGUCCAUUCCACGGGUUCCGUGCCGUAGCUAACGCUUUAAGUACCCCGCCUGGGGAGUACGGCCGCAAGGCUAAAACUCAAAGGAAUUGACGGGGCCCCGCACAAGCGGCGGAGCAUGCGGAUUAAUUCGAUGCAACGCGUAGAACCUUACCUGGGUUUGACAUGGAUCGGGAGUGCUCAGAGAUGGGUGUGCCUCUUUUGGGGUCGGUUCACAGGUGGUGCAUGGCUGUCGUCAGCUCGUGUCGUGAGAUGUUGGGUUAAGUCCCGCAACGAGCGCAACCCUUGUUCACUGUUGCCAGCACGUUAUGGUGGGGACUCAGUGGAGACCGCCGGGGUCAACUCGGAGGAAGGUGGGGAUGACGUCAAGUCAUCAUGCCCCUUAUGUCCAGGGCUUCACGCAUGCUACAAUGGCUGGUACAGAGAGUGGCGAGCCUGUGAGGGUGAGCGAAUCUCGGAAAGCCGGUCUCAGUUCGGAUUGGGGUCUGCAACUCGACCUCAUGAAGUCGGAGUCGCUAGUAAUCGCAGAUCAGCAACGCUGCGGUGAAUACGUUCCCGGGGCU